rnacentral:misc_RNA from 1 species
AAAAGAAGGUUUUGAGAGGCUUUGAUGAAGAAAUUAGGGAUUUUGUUGGUGAACAGAUGUCACUGAGAGGCAUUGAGUUCCAUACCGAGGAGUCGCCCCAGGCUAUUGUCAAGUCAGCAGAUGGUUCACUGUCUAUAAAGACUAACAGAGGAACAGUUGAAGGUUUCUCUCAUAUCAUGUUUGCAACAGGACGAAGUCCAAAUACUAAGAAUUUAGGAUUAGAUACAGUGGGAGUGAAAAUGACAAAGAACGGAGCCAUAGAGGUUGACGAGUAUUCUCGUACAUCAGUGCCAUCAAUUUGGGCAGUUGGAGAUGUUACUGAUAGAAUUAAUCUAACUCCAGUUGCUUUGAUGGAGGGAGGAGCAUUGGCAAAAACUAUUUUUGCUGGUGAACCCACAAAACCUGAUUAUAGGAACGUACCAUGUGCAGUAUUUUCUCAGCCACCUAUUGGACUAG